UGAUCAUUUGCAUAGAGCAGACGUCUGCCGGCAAAUAAGUGAGUUUGUGCUUCUUCUUAAGCACAUCAAAGCUAUUUUAAAGCCAAAACAGCAAAUUGCAUUUUGGUGGCACUGUCAAGUGCUUAAAAGUCGUCGCUGUUGUUGUCGGGAUGGGGGGGCAGAGCGCAGCUUCCAUUGAAAGUCCAGUCAAUCGUAUUCGUACGCAAAAAGCGCAUUGCUGUUGUCGUGUUCUGAAUUUUUAUGAAACGAGCUUGGCGCUGAACACAAAAACAAACACAAAGUUGAAACAGAAAACAGCAGAGAAGAAAAAAAAAAACAAAGCGGGUUACUCUCUGAUUGAUGGGGAGUCAAGCGGAGACAACUUGUAGCUGGAGCAUGGAGCGCAACAAAUUAAGCAACUUGUGUGGUCUGGCCACCGCCAGCGACGCCACCUGGCCAGAGAGUGGCCACGAUCCGAUUCCUAUGACGAGCCAACGCCAAAUUCAGUGCACAAAACGCAGCGCCGACUGUCGCCGGACACGAGCGGCUGCUGCCUGCCUGCCUGGCCAAGUGACAUUUUAUUGGCGGCCAAGAGCAAGACAAACGUACAGUGGGACAGUGAGACGCUCAGACAAUGAGACAGUGGGACAUCGGCAGUCGCGUUUUUGCUAUUUAGAGGCAUGAAAGCAACGGCAGCCUCACAUGGAUAAUUGACAACAGUUAAUUCCGAUGCGAGUAUGUCGCAAAUUUAAUUAUUGGAUCGAUCGCGUUGCACACAGCGUCUGGGUGGUCGCCAGCAUUAAGUGGGCGUUUCAGAGCUGACCCCCUGCCCAUUCUCCGUUGCAGAUGCAGAUGUGGACUCUAGAUGCAGAGCUAAAAGCCAUUUGCCAGGAUGCAAACACACACAAAAAAAAAAGAAAGAGAAGAACGAAAGAAAUGGAUAGACAACAAGGAAUAUUUGUCGCUCAGCGGAAGCGGAAGCUGAAAGCUGCUGUGACAGUUGAGUUGCUGACAAUGACAAGAAUGCAAUGGCCACUGGGAUAAAUGGAUUGGAGUGUGGGAGUGAGAAAAUGGCAAGCUGGUUUACUGUUGACUUAAAUCGUUUAGCCAAAGUUAAACAACUUGUUCGCUUAAUUGUUAAACAAUGCGCAGCAGACAGAUAGCAGGAGCUAUAAAGCUGAUGAAGCUGACCAAGCGAUAAAUUCGAAUAGAUUAGCUUUAGGAAAUCAUAUUUAUUUGCUGUCAUUAUGAGUUAUGGCUGCAUCAAAAACAAUUAUUUUGUGCCGUAAACUUUAAUUGCUGCUCUUAAUGAACCCCUUUUUAUACAAUAUGUGCACU